CUACGGGUGGCUGCAGUGGGGAAUAUUGGACAAUGGGCGCAAGCCUGAUCCAGCCAUGCCGCGUGAGUGACGAAGGCCUUAGGGUUGUAAAGCUCUUUUGGCGGGGAAGAUAAUGACGGUACCCGCAGAAUAAGCUCCGGCUAACUUCGUGCCAGCAGCCGCGGUAAUACGAAGGGAGCUAGCGUUGUUCGGAAUCACUGGGCGUAAAGCGCACGUAGGCGGACUUGUCAGUCAGGGGUGAAAUCCCGGAGCUCAACUUCGGAACUGCCUCUGAUACAGCAAGUCUUGAGUCCGGAAGAGGUGGGUGGAAUUCCUAGUGUAGAGGUGAAAUUCGUAGAUAUUAGGAAGAACACCGGUGGCGAAGGCGGCCCACUGGUCCGGUACUGACGCUGAGGUGCGAAAGCGUGGGGAGCAAACAGGAUUAGAUACCCCGGUAGUC
rnacentral:rRNA from 1 species